GCCCGAGUGGUGAAAUUGGUAUACACGUAUGCCUUAGGAGCAUAUGCCUCGUGCGUGCUGGUUCGAGUCCAGUCUCGGGCA
rnacentral:tRNA from 1 species